rnacentral:tRNA from 1 species
UGGGCAUUGGUGUAAAGGUAGCACGCUCUGGCUUAGCUGGAGAGGUUCAGGUUCAAAUCCUGGAUGCCAA